rnacentral:lncRNA from 1 species
CAAAAGACAUUACAAUGGAUAGUGGUGUCAAUUCUUGAUACACGCUUCUUCCCAAUGAGAAGUGACUGAUGUACUGUCUGCACAGCCACUUCUGUGCAGUUGCUUUUCAGUUGGAUAGUCGACUUGUACUUCUGUCAGAGAACACUACCAGACCGAUCCUAGUUGUGUUCCUCUUUUGUAACAGUUGUGAGAUGGUCACUUUCUGUUGUUCGCUCCAGCUGUACAGUUGACAUGUACUUCUGUCAGAGAACCCUAAGGGACCAGGUCCCUGUUAUGUUCCUCUUUAUAAUGAUUGCGGACAAUCACUGACUUGUACUUGUGUCGGAGAACCCUAAGGGACCAGGUCACCAGGUCCCUGUUGUGUUCCUCCUUAUGGUCGUUCAUUUAUUUGCUGAUUUUCAGACUUAAACCAGGUCAGUUGAAAUGUAUACCAUGUGGGCCAGGUUCUCUAUCUGGUUCUUCACAACAAGUUUGUUAGAUCAUCAAAACAUAAGAAGCAUAAGGCAAAGGCAUUAAAAACCCAUCAAUUUUGAUAUGAAAGAGAAAUAGAUGCAUGUAAAGGAUCACAUGAUUUAAACUAUUGCAAUAUUUGCAAGAACCAAAAUUUAGAUAAGUGCAAAAUCCACAUAGUACUCUUUUGGAAUUGUAAAAUAACAAUUAGAUAACUUCCAUGGGGGUUUUCACUCGAAGAAUAUAUUCAAAUGCUUUGCCCACCCUGAAUCAAAAUAGAUAACUGUAAUGAAAAGAGUGCUCUGUUUACAUAGGUAUGAUAUAGUUCUUUUCUAACAAAUGUGCAAAAAAUGUCAUAAGAACGGUGUUCUUCCUAUUACCAUCUUUUUCAGCUUUGCUUCAUGUCCUUGCAAGGCUGUCCCAUGCAUUCUGUUGAAAAUAAAUUAAUUUGUAAAAUAUAGAGAAAUACACAAAAAAGGAAAGAAAUAUGUGUAUCCAUGAAACUUUCAAAAUUUAUAGAAACUAAAUAAAGAAUGGGUCCAUCUCUAAGACAAAAUUGAUACCAGCUGUCACAAAUGCUCACAUACAUGUACAAACGUAAUGAAAAAUAAAUUCUAGCAGGCAGCAUCAAUUAGUUACUCUAUAGCCAAAGUGAAAGUGACCUUACCAAACGUAAUGAAAUUUGACACUAAAGAUUUAAAAGAGAACAUGCAUGAGCAGAAUCAAAGAAUUUCUUCAAAUUUAAUUGCUCACGUUUGUCAUUAAUUGCCAUAAAGUUACUAUUCCCACUGUAACUUCAAAUAUCUUAUAUCUCUCUGUUUGUCGUCCUUCCGUCUUUGAUCAAGAAGGUAAAGGAUUAUCGUUAAAUACUACAUCGCUGGUACAGAAAGAUUACAUCUGAGAAACACGAAAAGGUCUUCUUUCUAUAAAUUGAAGACAUUAGCCUACAUCCUUUGUCUGGAAAUAACAUCUCCUAUCAUUGAACUUACAUUGAGCUUAUAAAACUCUUAGCAAGCAAAAGAAAAGAACAGAGGAAGAAGUCUGUCAAUGCACCAUGCUUGUUUAAACCAUAAUAUAGAGAAAAAACAUAAAAGAAGUAUGUAACCAUUAAUAUUACGAAGUUAUGUCAUGAUUUUUAAAUCAUAAUCCAAAAAGAAAAGAAAAUCACAAGUAUGGGAUCAGUAAUCUUAAUAUAUAACUCAAAUAACAUGAUAGGAAGAGCUAACUACAUUAUAGAAACUUUCAUUGAAUUAUAUACUCAUAACUCAUUUAAAUCACCACGACCUCUCGUGGCUAAAAAGUAAAGAUACUAAACAAAAAGAUCAAAGAAUGAGCAUUUUAGUGGAAUUCAAAUUCACUUAUAACUCAUUUGUAAUGACCACAGUCUUAAAUGGCUCGAAGAUAAGGUAGACUAAGCAUGGAAAAUUCAAGACAAAGCUAACAGUGGGCACUUUUCUUCUUUCUCAUAUGGAAGCUUAGUCGCUUCAUUUCAGUAUAUGCAGAUUUAAUUACAGAGUAGAAAAAACUACCAGUUGCUUAUGUUAGCAAUGAUUGAUAAUUAAUGAAGCGUUACUGAAAUAGUUCUUUGAGACUAUUUGUAUGUUGUAACGAAUGGUUACUGACCUGUGCUCUCCCUCCGUCCUAGGAAUAUAUGCGUUCGUGUCGCUGCCAAUCUGACCUUGUAGAUAUACCUCCAUCAUUUCACUGUUUAAGUUGCCUGAACUCAUUCCAACGCUCUAAUAUGCUUCACCAUGUUCAAUAAAUCCCACGCAACGAUCAUCAAAUGGAUAUUAGCUAGAAAAAUGGUGGUGUACCACAUAACAAAUUGCAACAUGAGUAAUACAAUAAACCUGACACAAGCAUCACCAUCUGUGACAUUAUAUCCAAUUCCUUUCUUUAUUUGUUGUUUUUUCUUGAGCCUUUUUCCCCCUUUGGGGUAGGGAUAAGGUCUGCGUACACACUGAUAAG